CCCACCUGCAAAGGUGUGUCCUAUCUUUGGACACGUAAGAAUUGGAGGCAAAGAAAUGCGGAACUGGAGAAGUCUGGGGCCAGCUUGCUCCCUGCAGGCUCAGGAUGAACCAUACAAGAGGG
ensembl:snoRNA